GGAGGUUCUCUUCUUGGAGAUUGCUCUUUUGGGAGUUUUUCUGUGAGCCUAGGAUGUGGCAAGGGGAUGUGACCAGCAGAGGGGAUGCGACUUGACAUGGAAUUCCAUUUUCUCAAAGGAUAUCUACCAGAAGUUAGGAUUCACAUCGCAAGGGACAAGUACUGCAAAGAGAUAUUUGUCAUGAAGUUGGUAAGACAAGAUAAAGGGAAAAAGAAUAUGCGGUAAGCAUCUCUGUCAUCUAUAAUCAGAAGCAUAAAGGUUUCAUCUAAUCCACAUGCUGGAAAUUCCUCUUGUCCUACCAAGGUUUUUCUACAGUCCAUGGAAAAUUGUUGAAUAACACUGAAGUUCUGUAAAUAGGCCACUCCCAUUUUGGGAGGGGACUUGAGAAUUCAAGAAAUGUAUUUUUAGUAAAGCCAGCAGAAUCUAUUUUUUUAAUCCUUGUGCUUGUACUACACAAAUCAGCGUGCCCUGAUCUUCCCUAAAUCCAUCUAUGUUUCUCCUUGUUGUUGCGUAAUAGGAUGAAAAAAAUUUGUCAC
rnacentral:lncRNA from 7 species